rnacentral:lncRNA from 1 species
AUGAUCGAAGAUUUGUGAAUUUUUCAUAAAUCGUUUGAUCAUCGAUUUAUGAAAAAUUCUUCCGCUACGGUAGAGUUGUGUUACGUUUAGUUUAUGUGAGCUAAGGAUUAUUAGAUAUUAUCAUGAGAAUAAACACUAUGUAAUGCAACAUCUGAAAUAUAGAGGUCGCAGUGUGCCUCCCAUUAGCACACCCCUGAACGAAAAGCCUUUUUCGCACACGCACAUACCAUCGCAUCAAUCGAUAACUAGCAAAACACCGACUGAAAUGUUCGUGCAAACCAACAUUGCACACACACAGAGGUGCAUGAGCGAUCGCAAAAUCUGCACCACACCGCAGCUAGGAGACAGAAACCGUUUGGCCGGAAAGUGGAAAAGUCGCCAUUGUUCGCUCGUCGCGAAAAAGUGAAAAAUCAAAAAGUGGGCAGUCGCCUGUAACAAAUUUCCGGGAUUCCGCACCUGUAGCGACAGCCAGCAAUAAGGGUAGCUGCGAUCGGUUGAGCCCUUCGAUUCCAGAAACGCUGUGUGUAGAUUUUUCUCGCUCGAAGGCGCACGAAUUGAAGGCCGCAUUUUCGGAACAAACAAUUGGGGCUGAAGCCGAAAGAAACUUCCGACGCACGAUUUGGGAGGAAAAGCCAGCCCAAGCGAUCGCUCCCAAUCUACGCUCCGUUGGUGAACCGAAUCCCGUGAGCAACGACGGACAUUCGGUCGUACACGAAGAAGACAACAGACCCCUUAAAGGGUGAGUUUCAUUGUAAGAGUUCAAAAUCGGCCAAACGCUGAUGGCAACGAUGCGCAGGGUUUUUAUUUGUACUUAUAGACUGUUUCGUCCGGUCGCUAGAGGGAUUGCCUCGGAGAAAGGAGAGCCACCGGCGCGCUUCGGUGUGAACUAUCAUUCCGGCAUCGUGUUCGGAAGACAAACGGUGUGGUCGGGCCAGAGGAAGCGGCUGCAAGGAACACCGAGUGACGAGGAGCAGCGUCGAUACCAUUCAGGCCGAUCAGUGGAAGGGGACCGGGGUGGUGUCCCACGGGAGCAACACGUCCGAAGGUCGAAGUCGUCACCAGUCACCCACGGUGGUCAGAAUCAGCAUAGUUCCCGAAUCAGGUGUGCGAUGUGCUCGUGCGUUGUGCGACCGAGGAAUGCAUUGAAGAUGGUGCGAUGCAGUAGGUCAGGUAGUCACUUAUAGGACGGGCCCGUAAGUAAAGAAAGAUAAUUAGCUUGUAAGAACAUGAUUUAGUCAGGCCUUGAUGCAAAAGGGGGUCGAUAGGAGCUAGGAAGGUGGGAGAAAGCUCGAUGGGUGUAAUAAAGUCUUUGUAAAAUGUAA